GACGAACGCUGGCGGCGUGCUUAACACAUGCAAGUCGAACGGAAAGGCCCUGCUUUUGUGGGGUGCUCGAGUGGCGAACGGGUGAGUAACACGUGAGUAACCUGCCCUUGACUUUGGGAUAACUUCAGGAAACUGGGGCUAAUACCGGAUAGGAGCUCCUGCUGCAUGGUGGGGGUUGGAAAGUUUCGGCGGUUGGGGCUGGACUCGCGGCUUAUCAGCUUGUUGGUGGGGUAGUGGCUUACCAAGGCUUUGACAGGUAGCCGGCCUGAGAGGGUGACCGGCCACAUUGGGACUGAGAGACGGCCCAGACUCCUACGGGAGGCAGCAGUGGGGAAUAUUGCACAAUGGGCGGAAGCCUGAUGCAGCAACGCCGCGUGCGGGAUGACGGCCUUCGGGUUGUAAACCGCUUUCGCCUGUGACGAAGCGUGAGUGACGGUAAUGGGUAAAGAAGCACCGGCUAACUACGUG
rnacentral:rRNA from 1 species